CAACUACUCCCUCUGUCCCAAAUUUCUUGUCUUAGAUUUGUCUAGAUACGAAUGUAUCUAAUACUAAAAUGUGACUUGAUACAUCCGUAUCUAGACAAACCUAAGACAAGAAUUUUGGGACGAAGGGAGUACUUU
rnacentral:pre_miRNA from 1 species